CGGAACAUCCGGUUGUUAGGGACUCAGCAGGGCGGAGUAAACGCUCUCGCUUUGCCUCUCCCGCUAUACUUUCAAGAGAGGCCACACAGACCGAAGGAGAGUUACCACGUUUUGUGGUGUUGUCAAUAUUCAGACAUGUUCCACAUCUCCUCACUGGCUCCCCUCCAGGGCAAACUGUGACGAUGAUCUGCUAAUGUUUACAAGGUCAGUGCAAGUGUUUGAUGUAGAUACAAUGUGGAGCAAUGCUUGGAUGUGCGAAAGGAUGACAGUACUGCAACUGGACAGGAAGUAAAAGAUUAAUUCACAUCAAUAACCACAUUUCCAUCAGGUUUUUAUUUGAGUAAAGUCAUACCUUAUUAAAAAAAUGUGUUCCAUGGUGGAAUCUUUUUGUGUCUGUAAAAUUAAUUAUGUGUGAAAUGGCGGUGAAAACGCAGAUAUUGAUA